GACGAACGCUGGCGGCGUGCCUAAUACAUGCAAGUAGAACGCUGAAGGAGGAGCUUGCUUCUCUGGAUGAGUUGCGAACGGGUGAGUAACGCGUAGGUAACCUGCCUGGUAGCGGGGGAUAACUAUUGGAAACGAUAGCUAAUACCGCAUAAGAGUAGAUGUUGCAUGACAUUUGCUUAAAAGGUGCAAUUGCAUCACUACCAGAUGGACCUGCGUUGUAUUAGCUAGUUGGUGGGGUAACGGCUCACCAAGGCGACGAUACAUAGCCGACCUGAGAGGGUGAUCGGCCACACUGGGACUGAGACACGGCCCAGAGUCCUACGGGAGGCAGCAGUAGGGAAUCGUCGGCAAUGGACGGAAGUCUGACCGAGCAACGCCGCGUGAGUGAAGAAGGUUUUCGGGUCGUAAAGCUCUGUUGUAAGAGAAGAACGAGUGUGAGAGUGGAAAGUUCACACUGUGACGGUAUCUGACAAGAAAGGGACGGCUAACUACGUG
rnacentral:rRNA from 1 species